rnacentral:rRNA from 1 species
UACGUAGGGAGCAAGCGUUGUCCGGAAUCAUUGGGCGUAAAGCGCGCGUAGGCGGCUUCGUAAGUCCGUUGUGAAAGUCAAAGGCUCAACCUUUGAAAGCCGAUGGAUACUGCGGAGCUAGAGUACGGAAGAGGCGAGUGGAAUUCCUGGUGUAGCGGUGGAAUGCGCAGAUAUCAGGAGGAACACCAAUAGCGAAGGCAGCUCGCUGGGACGGUACUGACGCUAAGGCGCGAAAGCGUGGGGAGCGAACAGG